rfam:Gossypium raimondii Chr02_contig_18, whole genome shotgun sequence.
UGUUAAAAUUUUCAUCCAUUUAUACAAUUAAAAUAUGGCGUAGUUAACAGAAUAACAGGACAGUAACACAUGACUUGCCAUGUGUACCUCAUGCUAAUGCAUAGGAACUAGUUUUUAAUAGUAAAAAUGAAUGAAAUAUUUAACA